rnacentral:rRNA from 1 species
ACUCAGUUAAACCUAAAGGCGCAAUGAAAGUAAAGGUCCGCCUCGCGCGGACCGAGGGAGGAUGGGACCGUCCACGGACGGACCCCGCACUCCCGGGGCGUCUCGUUCUCAUCGCGAGAAGAGGCGCACCCAGAGCGUACACGCUGGGACCCGAAAGAUGGUGAACUAUGCCUGGUCAGGACGAAGUCAGGGGAAACCCUGAUGGAGGUCCGUAGCGAUUCUGACGUGCAAAUCGAUCGUCGGAACUGGGUAUAGGGGCGAAAGACUAAUCGAACCUUCUAGUAGCUGGUUCCUUCCGA